AACGAACGCUGGCGGCGUGGAUAAGACAUGCAAGUCGAGCGCGAUACUUCGGGUAGCAAUAUUCGGAGUGUUGAGCGGCGCAAGGGUGCGUAACACGUGGGUAAUCUGCCGUGAAGUUGGGGAUAACUCGCUGAAAGGCGAGCUAAUACCGAAUGUGAAAAUCGAGUGGCAUCAUUUGAUUUUUGAAGUUGGGGACCGUAAGGCCUGACGCUUCACGAUGAGCCCGCGGCCUAUCAGCUAGUUGGUGAGGUAACGGCUCACCAAGGCUAAGACGGGUAGCUGGUCUGAGAGGACGACCAGCCACACUGGAACUGAGACACGGUCCAGACACCUACGGGUGGCAGCAGUCGAGAAUUUUUCACAAUGGGGGAAACCCUGAUGGAGCGACGCCGCGUGGGGGAUGAAGGGCUUCGGCUCGUAAACCCCUGUCAGCCGCGAACAAUGCUUACGACCUAAUACGUCGUGAGUUGAUUGUAGUGGCAGAGGAAGGGACGGCUAACUCUGUGC
rnacentral:rRNA from 1 species